rnacentral:rRNA from 1 species
GACGAACGCUGGCGGCGUGCUUAACACAUGCAAGUCGAACGGAAAGGCCCUGCUUGCAGGGUACUCGAGUGGCGAACGGGUGAGUAACACGUGGGUGAUCUGCCCUGCACUUCGGGAUAAGCUUGGGAAACUGGGUCUAAUACCGGAUAGGAGCCAUCUUUAGUGUGGUGGUUGGAAAGUUUUUUCGGUGUAGGAUGAGCUCGCGGCCUAUCAGCUUGUUGGUGGGGUAAUGGCCUACCAAGGCGGCGACGGGUAGCCGGCCUGAGAGGGUGUACGGCCACAUUGGGACUGAGAUACGGCCCAGACUCCUACGGGAGGCAGCAGUGGGGAAUAUUGCACAAUGGGCGCAAGCCUGAUGCAGCGACGCCGCGUGGGGGAUGAAGGCCUUCGGGUUGUAAACUCCUUUCGGUAGGGACGAAGCUUUUUUGUGACGGUACCUAGAGAAGAAGCACCGGCUAACUACGUG